rnacentral:tRNA from 1 species
GGGCGCUUGGUCUAGGGGUAUGAUUUUCGCUUCGCACUUCCUCCAGGAACGCGCAUUUGUGAAAGGUCGUGGGUUCAAUUCCCACAGUGUCCA